rnacentral:rRNA from 1 species
UACGUUCUCGGGUCUUGUACUCACCGCCCGUCACACCACGGGAGUUGGCAAUGCCCAAAGUCUCGAUUUAUCGGGAUUAAGGCAGGGUCAAUGACUAGGGUG